UCCAGUGGUCGUAUACUACUCGGUCCAUUUUUGGGGAACCUAAAUUCUCAAUAGAGUAUCCUUCCCCCACUUCUCACAUUCACUAUCAUGUCACUCCCUCUAGAGCAAUUCUAGGAACAAUUAUAUUUUUGAUUCUAGUUUACAAUUCCCUACUUCAAAAAAGGGCAGAGUAAAAAAGGAUACAGAAUAUACAAACAUGAAUGGGGUGUGGAAUAGAUCCACUAUUUCCAUGCAGAAGAGGGAAUUCUAAGCACAAAAGAUUCAUAACGUUCAUUACAGAAUGAUUAGCAUAGAAUUCAGUAAUAUUACUGCUAGAAAAAUCAGUUGAAAGACUAAUUUUCAAGACUUGUUGGGACAUUAAAUAAUCUUACAAGGCUGCCAUUUAAUCACUCAUAUUUCACUUUUACUAAUCAUAUGCCAAUCUCAGUAUUCUAUCUGACGAUCUCCUUCUCUGUGAUGCCAACUCGUCCCAUCACAGGAGUCUACCCCUGCAGCUACUUAGACAUUCUUUUCUGACAAUGGUCAAAUUUCCUGAUGUAGACAUUUCCCUUUCAGACACUGAUGCUCUUUGGGAUACCAUUGCAGCUGCCAUGUUGGUGGGAGAUGCCAUGAUUUUGACCAUCAGCCUCCAGGCUUUCAAAAUUUUCACAAGACUGUACUUAACAGAAAGAAAACACACAAAUAAAAAAGUGGGGUGAGGAGGAAUAUCCAAGCAUUGACUUGCCUACACAAGACAUAUUCUGUUUGCAGCUGGGUAAAGGCUCUCCUUCGUUCCUGGAAUAGUCUUCCUCAUCACUAUAGCCAACUCACUUCAGUUGAAACACUUAAGAAAGAACUUUGAUGAUUGCCAUGACUGAUCAUGAUCCCAGAGUACCAAUAAUAAAGCAUACUACCCACUUCCUGAUGGAGAGGAGACUGACUUCAAAUCUAUAUUCCAUGUACCAAGUGAGCGUGCCAUUGGACAUGACUCAUCCCUUUAACACCUACAGUAAUUAAUCUGUCCUAAAGAGGUUUUUUUGGUUUUGUUUUUCAUUUCACCCUCUUUUAAACUAUGGUAGCACUAUUUCUUCAAAGCUGGAUCAAUGGAUUCAUUUCCAAAGUGGAAGUAAUGACUAAACAGGGGAAAACCACCUCAGGAAAAAGGGAAUUCAACCAGUCAACAUAUACAAGCUGUUUUCCUGGAAUACUUUCUGGGCUUUGAGGUUUGGAGUUGACUUCAGAAGACCCUGUUGGAACUAUGUCUGUUCUGGUUGUUCUGCCUCCUUGAACUCCUUUCUACAGGCAAACUUGGAAGAAAAUUCCAUAAAGAUAACCUUGAAUUUACCUAUGUUAGUUACUGAAAUUAUACUGCCUUGCCUGCAUUUUCAUUUAUUUAUUUCACAAAAGCCCAAACUACUAUAUUUAAGGUGAGAUUAAGUCACCUUGCUAAAGGAAAUGGACUCUAUGUGAUUCAGAGAGGUUUGGUCCUAAUACAAGUAUUUAAGUAAUGUCAAUGACUUCUAAAAUUGGUUAUUUCAUUACCACCCCCCCAAAAAACUAGAACUCAUAGUUUUGUCAAAGGAAUUCCAAGACUUCAUCAAAGCAAUAUCAGGAUUAUAAGAUCUAUCUGCUCCUGUGGAUGACUAUAUCAAAAAGUAUGAUAUAGCCAUGCAAACUUUGAAAUUAGUAGUAGGGUACAUCCUUCUUUAAAACUAGUUGGAAAGAGAACUUAUCUGAUUCGUUGAAUUCUGUUGUGCUUUAUGCUGUUUCAAGGCUACAUUCAUGACCUCCUUUGAGAUAAAAAAAAAAAAACAUUUUUGCCACAGAGCAAGCAUUAUUAUCCCUAUUUGACAAGAGGGGAAACCAAGAUUGAGAAAGACUCUUUUUUGUCCAGGGUCACACCAUUAGCUUAGAGUCGAGAAUUGUACCCAAAUCUCCUGACAUCAUCCAUUCUUCUUUUCCUGUGCCAUGUUAUGCAUAUAUCCUGUAUCACUCUCUAUGUAUCCUGGAAAUAAUAAAUGGGGAAGGUGGCAAAUAUAGAGUAUUGGGUUUUGAGACAGGAAGUUCAAAUCUGACCUUGGAUACCAGCUGUGUGACUCUAGGCAAAUUAUUCAACCUGCAUCUGCCUCAGUUUCCUCAAUUGUAAAAUGGAGAUAAUAAUAGCACCUACCUCCCAGGGUAGUUGUGAUCAUGAAACAAAAUGUUUAUAAAGUGCUUAGCACAGUGCACAACCCGUUUGUUGUUCAGUUGUGUCCAACUUUUCAUGACUCCUUUUGGGGUUUUCUUGGAGAAGAUACCAGAGUGGUUUUCCAUUUCAUUCUCCAUCUCAUUUUACAGAUGAGAAAACUGAGGCAAACAGGGUUAAGUGACUUGGCCAGGGUCACAUAGGUAGGAUGUGACUGAGGCCAGAUUUGAAUUCAGGUUUUCCUGACUGCAGGCCCUGGCACUCUAUCUACUAUGCCAGCUAGCUGCCUGGCACAUCGUAGACAAUAAAUGCUUUUGAAAAAGGCCAAAUGGUUGAGGAGCGUUUUGAAGAAGAGUUCUAAAAGACUUCUAAAAAAUGCCCUGGCUGGCAUUCGUAAGUGGGAAUGAAGCUGUUGUGGCUUCUGCUCUUAGUUGAGGGCCUGUGAAUGGGGCCAGAUGGACAACCAAUGUAUGAUACCAUUGGCAGAGGAACCAGUAUGUUUUUUCCUCUUCUCAAUUUGUUGUAUCGCCAGAGAGAAAGACGGUGAAACUUCCAGACCAUGGAAUAACCUCAUCAUAUGUUAUUUUGCUUAAGGAGAACCAGGCUUCCUUAGUGACCAAGCACCAGUGAGACAGCCAUUCUUUGCCAGCAGAAAUAACUCUGUUAAGAGCUGUCCCUCUUUAGUAGGUGCACCUUUAUGGAGCUGGCCAGAAGGAAAAGUAAUUGAAUUUAAUAAAAGCAGUUCUCAAUAUAAAGCCACAGGGAAAUAUGUUUAACUUCAAAGUCCAGGCUCUUGGUUCCUAGAUGUAAUUAAUAGUUUAGCUGUUUCUUCUAUCAAAUCUCUAUUUGAUGGUGAAUUAAAUGGAUUCCCUAGCAUUUACUCACAUUUUAUAGUCCCAUAAAUUCUCAAUUGAUAGGUAUGGAUAGAUUGAUGAGUGCCUCAAAAAUGACAUUCAUUUGUGCCCUUCAAGUUGGUCCAGCUGCUGCUCCUUACCCAGUCAGUUUAAAAGUCCCACAAGAAAGGCAUUUAAAAGGGUGGUCAAAGGUGAGACUCGUAGAAAACCUAUGUGGAGAUGCUGCCCGUCUCUACAUCUCCUUCUCCCUGGAUGCUAACAAAAAGAUCUACAGAGAAAAACAAAUAUUCCUUUGCUCAGCAACCAAGUCACAAGAGAGGAGACUUUUGUUUUCUGGUGCCAUUGUUUGAAUAUGCCAAGUGUCUGAGGAACUGAUGCUUCCUCAGCACUGGCAGAAUCGCCUGACAAUUUGUUACAAAUGGAGAGGGCAUCCAAGAGGCCUGGGUUCUAAUCUCAGUUCUUCCACCCCAUGCCUAGGCCACAGGCUCAUAGAAUAGACCUUAGUGAUGAGCUAAUCCAACUACCUCAUUUUAUAGAGGGGAAAUUGGAACCCAUUCAGACCAAUUAAUUACCUGAGGCUACCUAAACCUCAUAAGGAGCAAAGUUGAGAUAUGAAUCCAUAUCCUCUGACUCCAAACCUAACACUCUUUACAUUGCACCCCCCUACCUCCUUGAAAUGGGCAAAUCCUUUAAGCUUGGUUAAGUUAACCUUAGUUACUCUGAAUCUCAGUUUCCAUAUCUGUAAUAUGGAGUAAAAAAUACUUGUGAUACAGUGGAGAGAGUACCAAUCAGGAAGAUGUGAAUUCAAAGCCAGCCCCAGACAGUUACUUGCUGUGUGGCCUUGAGCAAACUACUUAGCUCCCACCUGCCUCAGUUUCCUUGUCUGUAAAAUGUGGACAUUAAAAAUAUCUCCCAUCUAAAGUUGUUGUGAGGGCUAAAUGAGAUAAUUAUAAAGCAUUAAGCAUAGUGUCUAGUACCUAGUAAAUGCCAUAUGUGUUAGCAAUUAUAUUAUUUACUUCACAGAAUAGUUAUGAAGAAAGUGCUAAUUGUAAAGCUUUUUUUUUUUAAUCAACUCAUCUCUUAGCCAUGAGUUGGAGUAGCUGUUAGCAGUAAUUCCACUGUUGAAAUCCUAGAUGAUAUGAAGUAAUGAAAUGUUGCCCCUCAAGGUGUGACUGCCUCUAAUUCAGCAGGUAAAGAAAUUUAGAAUAUAGAAUUUGAAGACCAUAUUCAACAGCUAUGGCCUGACAAGCAAUCUGCUUGCCUCCAGUGCUUCCUACUUUGAGUGAUGCAUUUGGGCUCGUAUUCAAUGAGCUCUCUAUUUUAUGUCCUUACUGAAUUUUUGUUUUAAAUUGGCUCAUUCAUACCUCUAGACAAUCCACAGAAGUCAGAAUCUAUCCAAGUAUGCCGGGAGCCAUCAAAGACCACGUUGUUUGACCCAGUCCACAUGGAAACUCAGGACUACAAAGCAGCCCCCAGGAAGGAUGGGAACAUCCACUGAAACCCCCCUAAAUGACCUUCAUUAUUAACAUCCCCUUAUUAUUUGAAUAGCCAUGAUUAUUAUUCUUACUUAGUCCCAGGAAAAAUAGAUGAGAGCAACAUGCUUGUAGGAUUAAUACAGAUGUCCCACUCUGUCCCCCCAGGAUAUUACCAGGAGACCCCACUUAUAAAAUUAAAACUAAAGAUUCUUAUAUAUCCACUUAGAUAGGACCCUUUUUUCUAGGCAUAAAAACUUCUGUCAAAUCUGUGCUCUGAAUUCCCUAACUUAUAUCUGGGUCAUGUUGAUUCUACUCACUGAUCUUGCCCUUAGCAACAAUGUUUCAUUGACUAUCUCCCUAGGCUUCCUGUCUGUUGUUAAGUUCCAUGGAAACAUGUAUUUUGAGAAUGAAACUGUGUGCCAAGUAGAUGUGUGAUCAUGAGGGUAUAAAAUAAAGCCAGGCCUCAGCCAAGGUGGAGCAGUUUAUCCUGUGAAACCUGUGCUGUGGGUUGAAUGUGAAAGCUGGGUCCCAUCCAUCAUUUCGGUGACACUGUCCCACCUCUGAGACCCCAGCUCCUGUGGGAAGCUGGCCCCCUCCACGGCACAAGUACACAGAGAAAAAAACUUCUUUCAUAUUCUUUAGCAUUCGUCCUGAAGAAGAAAAAUGAAUAUGAAAGAAAGAGAAAGGAUAUAACAAAAGCCCAAAUCUAGGAAAUCCUUCCUUGGCUUCUUUACAAAACUAAGUACCUCUAUGAAAUUAUGACAUAGAAAGGAGAAGUUCAUUGAAAUAAUAUCUCUAUAUAUUCAGUGAUAUUAGGCAAUUUCUAGACUGAAUUAGAGCAAAAAACAUAGAGUCAGGAAGGUCUGAACUCAAAUAUUCCCUCAGACACUCACUAACUGUGUGAGUCUGGGUAAGUAAUUUACCCUCUCUCAGACUCAGUUUCUUUAUUUGCAAAAUGGAGAUGAUAAUGUAUUAUAGAGAUAUAAAGCAUGUAAAGCAUUUUGCAAUCUAAGGUACCUUAUUAAUGUCUUUAUUAUUACUCAGAACUUCAACUUCCAAAUAUCUUUAGUCCUAAUAGAGCAGGUUUCAGAGAAAAUUAGAGAAAUUUAUGGUUAUUUAGAAAGUUGGCCACACUAUUGGUCACUUAGAUUUGAAAAAAGUCUCCAUAGGGAAAGUAUAACUAAGUAUAAAAAAGAUACUGUAAAACUAUGUUUAGUGAGUUCUUGGAUCAUACUAUGGAAAUGCAUAUGUAAAUGGACUUGGUUUUCAAAUUUUAAAAAGUUAAAGAAUAGCCAUUAUUAACUUGUCUAAGUCACAUGGCUUUUAUCUUCCUUCUGACACUGCCAUUCACCCCCUUCUCUAAAGGUUUCUGGGACAUGAUUCUGUCUUUUUUUAAAUCUGUGUUUGUUUUAGCUGGCCUUCAUUUAAUCCAUUUUAAGAAUUUGGAUUUAACUUAGCUACUCAAAUGAAAGAGGAUGAGGAAAAGGAGAAGACCAUAUAUCCCUGCAAUCAAGACAUGGAAUCCUAGCUGGUCAUUCACAGAUGUUGCAUCACCCUCUGACAACAAGCUAGAGAGAGAGGAUAAGUAGUUACUAUAGAUCACAAAAUAUCAGAAGAGCUGCUGUUUGAAUGAAAUUAGAAAAUUAUAUUGGUUUAAUUUAGCAUCCAAGAAGCAUAAAUUAAAUACCUAGUAGUUUCAAGGCCUUUCUCUAGACAGUGAAGACACAAAGACAAAAAAUGAAGCAGGCCUUGCCCUCAAGAAGCUUACAUCCUACUUCAGGGAUUUGUUGUUGUUGUUGUUUGGUCUUGUCUGACUCUUUAUGACUCCAUUUGGGAGUUUUCUUGGCAAAAAUACUGGAGUGAUUUGUCAUUUCCUUCUCCAGCUCAUUUUACAGAUGAGGACACUGAGGCAAACAAGGUUAAGCAAUUUGCCCCAGGGUCACACAGAUAGUAAAUAUCAGAGCAUGGAUUUGAAUUCAGGAAGAUGAGUCUUCCUGACUCUAGGUCCUGUGCUUUAUCCAUUGAGCCAACUAGCUGCCCUAACUAUAAGGAUACAACAUGUAUAUUAUGAGUAAAUGCAAAGUAGUUUUAAGAUGGAAUAAACCUAAUAGUAUUAUUGCUGGGUAUAAGGGUAAACUGUGAAUCUUAAAACUGCUCAGACUGUACCUUAGAAGAUUUGGUUAAGCAAAUUCCACUAUUGUAACAAUGGAGGUACUUGAUCAGGAAUGUAUUGAGAACUUUUAAAAUUACUCCACCCUACUUUAACAUUGACUUAGGGGAAGAUAAAGAUGUAAACUCCCAAUGGAACAAUGAAAGUCCCUAACUCAUACCUUACAGUGAAGCCAAACCCUUAAGCUAGGUGGUCUAUUUUUAGAUCUAAUACAUAAAGGUGCUAACUACCUAUAAAGAUUAAAUUAAUCACUAAAAGGUCAAGCAACUUACAAAAGGCAAGCUUAACAAAAGAGGUGUGAAGUACUCAGAAGAUAUAAUCUGCCCAGAGAAGGUGAGAACUAAAGAGUAGAGUGGUGAGAACUAAAAAUGGGCAGUCCUGGGAAAAAGUGUCUACUCUGAUUGGUAAAUGUGAAAUUUUAGGGGAGGUGACAUAAGAGAAAAUUUCUUUAAAAGGAGAAUUCAGUUCAGUUUGGUUUUAAUUCACUUUGGAAGCUGAAUUGGAGCUCUGAACUCAGUUCAAGAGUUCAGGAGUUCAGUGGAGGACUGGAGCUUGCUUGAGAUGAUCUUGUGGUGAGUGAUAAAGACUGACUCGCUCUCCCUUAGGCUCAGGCCUAGGCCAUUUGGUCUAGGCCCUUUCUUUUCUCUCUCUCUCUCUCUCUCUCUCUCUCUCUCUCUCUCUCUCUCUCUCUCUCUCUCUCUCUCUCUCUCUCCCUUCUUCCCUUAAUUCCUUCAUUUGUAUUAUUUAAAAUCUCCAUAAAACCCAACUGACUUGGGUAUUUUCAUAUUUGGGAAUUUUCCCAUGACAACCACUUAAUUUUAGAUUUUAAAUCAAGACACUAAAAAUUAUCUUUACAGUUUGGCAAAAACCUUUACAGUCUUGGCAAACCAUAUUUUCAUGGUUACAAAACACAGUUUUAUACCUUUUGGGGCAUAAUUCUAAAUUGUUCUCUAAAAUAGUUGGACCAGUUCACAAUUCUACCAGCAAUGUUUUAGUGUCCCGAUUUUUCUACAUCCCUUCCAACAUUUGUCAUUUUCAUCUUCUAUCAUUUUAACUAAUCGUAUAGGUAUAAUAUGGUACCUUAGAGUUGCUUUUAAUUCCUAUUUCUCUAAUCAAUAAUUAUUUCCAGCAUUUUUUCAUAUGACUGUAGCUUUGGUUUCUUCUUCCAAAAAUUGCCUGUUUAUAUCCUUUGAUCAUUUAUCAGUUGAGGAGUGACUUAUAUUCCUGUAAAUUUGACUCAGUUCUCUAUGUAUUUGAGAUAUAUAUUUGAGAUUUGAGGCCUUUAUCUGGGAAUCUGACUAUAAAAAAUCUUCCCCAAUUUUAUGUUUUCCUUUUAAUCUUGGCUAUGUUGUUUUAUUUAUAUAAACCUUUUUAAUCUGAUAUAAUCAAAAUUAUUCAUUUUAUAUUCCCCAAUGUUUUUUCUCAUUUGUUGAUCAAUUCUUCUCUUAUCCAUAAAUCUGAUAGGUAAUAUGUUCCAUGCUUCUAAUCCACUCACUAUAUUUCCCUUUCUGUCUAGGUUUUGUAUCCAUUUUGAUCUUAUCUUGGUAAAUAGUGUAAGAUAUUGGUCUACUUUCUGCCAGCCUACUUUCUAGCUUUCCCAGAAAUUUUUACCACAUAGUGAGUUCUUAUCCUAAAUGCUUAGGUCUUUGCAUUUAUCAAACACAAGGUAACUAUCAUCACUUACUACUAGGUCUUGUACACCUACUCCAAUUAAGAUGUAUUUGUGUCCUGAUAUGUCAACCACUUUCUUUGAUGGAGCUUAAGAGAGCAACUUCAGACAAAUAGGACUGAAAAUAGUUUAGCUCUAGAGACAAAGAGAAUUCUAAGCUACAUGUGUAUACAGACAUACACACACUCCAAGCUAGAAGCCAGAAGUGGAGGAAAAACCAGGAGCUCAUUCUUGGGGAUGAAGUGAGGGUUUCGCUCUCCCUAGUUAGCCCUACUCCCUGGUUAGCCCUAUCCCUGAUUAGCCCUAUCAUUUUGAAAUGGCAUUGGUUAAUAGUAGGCAACACUACAUCCAGUCAGAAACAAAGAAGAAACAUUCUAGACAAAGCAUGGAUACAGAGUAGUGUUAACUCAAGGGACAAAGCUGCUUUGGGAAAUAAAGUUGCAGUUGGAGGAACAUUUGGCAGCAGAGAAGACAGCCAGAAGUGGAGAGGAGCAGAGAUCCUGGGAACUCUGGAUGAGGGCUCUUCAAAGAAAAAAAAAAUCCCAGGUCCAGUAAUGCCAAGAGUUUUAAGUUUCUAUACAUACACCUCAAUCCUCUUAUACUCUCACUCUGAACUCUCUCUUCCCACAUAAACUGUAUGGGAUUACGGGAAAGCACACUAGAGAUUCUGGGGUGGGGGAUUGAUUUGUACCUAUUCUUAUUACAAUAGCAACAUUGAAAUCUUUUUGCUGAGGGCUGAUUUUAUCUACCAAUCAUGGCUAUUAUCAGGAGACUUGUUCUCUCUUUUGUUAGGCAUCUAGACCCACAGGAUUACCACUAGAAUCCACAGUAGCAGCUGCCCCAUCAGGACCCACCCUGUUAAUGGAUUUCAACAACAACAAAAAAUAUCCUAAUGUCUUUGGAGUCUCUCUCUUUAAGUCCCAGGCAGGAUUCUUCAUUUAUUCAUUCUUAGUCAUUUCUAUUCAUUUGAUUAAAGUUAAUGUUUACUUCAUUCUUCUGGAAGGUUGGUAUUAAUCACAGGUAGAUUAUUAGAAUACAUGAAUCUGGACCUAGACCUUGAAAAAAAAGAAUAGGAUUUGGGACUGGCAGAUAGGAGUGAAAGGGCAUUCCUAUGAGUUUGGGGUAGGGGGAAAAGAUGGCCAAAGACAAAGCAAAGAAAUCCUCCCUGAUGUAAUUCUGAAUGCCAAAGUGACUCAAAAAUCCUUUCUGGGUAUAUUUCAUGCUUGGAAGGAAAUGGAAAGCAUGUGAUCCAACCUGGAACACAACGAAAUACAGUGGAAAAAGUGAUUCCAUCCUCAGACAGAGUACUCUGUCCUUCCUCCAGGAAAGCUUCAUUCCCUCAUCACCUUCUCUGGAGCUGGUGUAUGUACUUCAUGCAACUUCUCACACUGACUUUUUUUUUCUUAGCAGGAAGCAUCACUCUUUAUGAUGUCUUGAGACUUUUAAAGCCAGUGUUAAACAAGUUCAAACAUUUAACAGUAUAUUAAGCAAGACUCCAGGUGUAAGCUCCACCUCCCAUCCCCCAAAUGCCUGUGAGCUACUUGGUGGAACCAUCCAGCUCUGAAGUGAGCAAACCCGGGUUCUAGCCCAUUCUCUUUGGUUAGAGAAACAGUGACUAUCACACACUACUAAUUCCUUGAAUUUCUCCUUCUCUCAAACUACUUCUAAGCUUUUCCUGGUAACAGGGCAGAAGACCAACUAAGGUAGCAGAAGCUAUCUGUAGUUUUAAUAGCAAAGUUUUAAAAGUUUGUGGUUUCCUUGAAGUAAAUGUAAAUAACUAUAGGGUGGGACUGGAGAAUUUGGUUUACUAACAAUACAGUAUGAUGUGAAGGUAUACUUCUAAAUAGGCUAUUUAAGGAGCCACAUAAAUAAAUAUCAUACAUUGGAGUAUGUGGGGUGUUUAGGAAGGACUACCACCUCUGCUGUGAGGGCUUGCCAAGCCUUUUUAGGGCUGCUCAUCCACGAACUCUUAUUUGUGGCUCCAAGAAAUUGUAGCAUGUGCCACAGCCAUAUCCCAAGAAAACCAUUCUCAGGAGACUAGCUAAACCAGGCUGAGGGUAACCAACGUGCCCCAAAUCUAUGAGUAAGUCAGGAGAUGUUUAUCCCAUGUGUAUGAAAACUUGCCCUGGCAGAACAGUCAGAUGAGAACAAUUUGUUCCAAUGAUCAUGAAGGUGGCUGAAGAGCCUGCUCAAGACAUUGAAGAUACCAAGGUCACCCACUUUAUCCUGGGCCAUUGCCAUCAUCCUGGCUUUUGCCUUGCCACUAGACUUUGAUGACCCUAGAAGAGAGAGUGAGUCUGAGAACAACUGUGUAAUUCUACUUCAUUUAAAUCCAAUUCAAGCAUCCAUCCAGACAUCAUCCCACAAUAUCAUUAGUCCCCUUUGAAAGGAAAGACAAAAAAUACCCAUCAGAUAAAUUUGAUCUUUGUCUGUUCAGAUGAUUAUUAGAGGUUAAUGAGUAAGAAUAAAGACAUCAUAGAAAAAGUUGGGUAAGAUUAUUAUUUUCCCUAUAAUGUGAAAAGGAUCACAAUGGGAGGAGAGACUAAGAGGUUUGUAGAGUUAGAAUAGCUCAGAACAGCUCAGAACCUUAGAAUUUCAGAUAUUCUUAAUCUGGGUUCUGUGAAACUGUUGGUCUAACAUUUUAAUGAGUUUAUCUCCAAAAGAACUGGUUUCUUUUAUAAUCUUUUAUUAUCCUAUUAUUUGUGCAUUUUAAAAUUAUUUCACUAAAUAACUCUUGGCAAGUCACUUCUGUUUGCCUCAGUUUGCUCAUCUGUAAAAUAGGACCCAUAUCUGUCGGUAUUAUGAAGAUGAAAUGAGACAGCAUAUGUAAAAUGUUUUUUAAACCUUAAAGCACCAUAUAAAUGCUAGCUGUUGUUAUUAUUAUUAUUAAAAACAUUAUUCUGGGAAAGAGAUCUAUAGACUUCCCUAGGCUGCAAAGGUACAUGACUCAAAAGAACCCCCAGUCUAGUCCAACUUCUUCAUUUUACAUAUAUAGAAACUAAAACCCUGAGAGCUUAAAUAAUUUGACCAAGAUUACACUGGUAAUGAGAGGUGGAGCCAGGUUUUGGACCCAGACUGAGGGGAAAGAGUUGAUCCAAUAGUGUACUAAAUCUUGUAAUAUAUGACUAGCCUGAACUUAAAUGGAACUUUGAAUAGCAAUGACACAUAUGAGUUUGUUUUGAUGGAUUGAAUUCAUCUUAUUCUAACAUUCAUCUCCUUCCUACUAAGUUUUUCAGUGGCAUUUUUUGCAUAUUUUAUAUGCCAUAAAAUAACCAACAACUUGUCUUCACAAAAUUUUAGGUCUUAGGAUCCACCUCUCCCAUUUACACACUCUGUCCCUAAUUCCUUCUUCUAUAACCCCAAUUAUGUGCUAACUAAUAAAAGAAGAAUUAUAUUCACUCUAAGUUGGAGUCAUCACUAGGUGGUUGAAACCUUAGGGGUAUGGGAUAUAUAUACCUCCUUGGAAGUUAGCAGAGAACAACAGAACAACCUUUCAGCCAUUGCUUGGAGGACUUGAACUGGUGAAGAGGACAAAAGUCUUUUUGCCAUGUCUUGAAGACAAACAAAAAACAAACAAAAAAUCUUAGCAGAACUGGGUUCUAAUAAUCGGACAGUUAUGAGUACCAACAGAGCCACUAAAAUACCUGGGUUUUGGAAUAA